rnacentral:rRNA from 1 species
UCAGGAUGAACGCUGGCGGCGUGCCUAAUACAUGCAAGUCGAGCGAACUGAUUAGAAGCUUGCUUCUAUGACGUUAGCGGCGGACGGGUGAGUAACACGUGGGCAACCUGCCUGUAAGACUGGGAUAACUUCGGGAAACCGAAGCUAAUACCGGAUAGGAUCUUCUCCUUCAUGGGAGAUGAUUGAAAGAUGGUUUCGGCUAUCACUUACAGAUGGGCCCGCGGUGCAUUAGCUAGUUGGUGAGGUAACGGCUCACCAAGGCAACGAUGCAUAGCCGACCUGAGAGGGUGAUCGGCCACACUGGGACUGAGACACGGCCCAGACUCCUACGGGAGGCAGCAGUAGGGAAUCUUCCGCAAUGGACGAAAGUCUGACGGAGCAACGCCGCGUGAGUGAUGAAGGCUUUCGGGUCGUAAAACUCUGUUGUUAGGGAAGAACAAGUACGAGAGUAACUGCUCGUA